rnacentral:rRNA from 1 species
CGGCAACAGCUCAAAUUUGAAAUCUGGCCCUAGGCCCGAGUUGUAAUUUGCAGAGGAUGUUUCGGCGUUGGGCCUGGGCUGAGUUCCUUGGAACAGGACGCCUUAGAGGGUGAGAGCCCCGUCUUCACCCGGGAUUCCUUCGCCAUGUGAAACUCCUUCGAC